GCACCGGUUAGACCUGAAGGAAGGGCUCCGGCUAGAACUUAUGCUAUUAAAGCGCGUGAAGAUGCUUCCUCACCUGAUGUGAUUACCGAUCAAGAAAAACGUGGAAUCGACCUCAAUCGAGGAAAAGAAAAGAUUGUGGACUAAAUUGCAAAAUCUUUGUAUUUUGGUACCAAGUUUUGGACAAGCCAGCUCAGGAGUCGGGAUAGGUCGAAGGCUCAGUCACACUAUCCAGAAGACUUUUGGUAAAUGGCUUGUAAAUUUAAGUAUGGCAUGUAUAGCAAUAUACCUAUUUUGUGUAAAUGAUCUUAUGGUAUGGUUGUGAAAUGGUUGAGGAAAUGCUUGAUAAUGAUAAAUUAUGAAAAUGGU